AUUGAACGCUGGCGGCAUGCCUUACACAUGCAAGUCGAACGGCAGCACGGGUGCUUGCACCUGGUGGCGAGUGGCGAACGGGUGAGUAAUACAUCGGAACAUGUCCUGUAGUGGGGGAUAGCCCGGCGAAAGCCGGAUUAAUACCGCAUACGAUCUACGGAUGAAAGCGGGGGACCUUCGGGCCUCGCGCUAUAGGGUUGGCCGAUAGCUGAUUAGCUAGUUGGUGGGGUAAAGGCCUACCAAGGCGACGAUCAGUAGCUGGUCUGAGAGGACGACCAGCCACACUGGGACUGAGACUCGGCCCAGACUCCUACGGGAGGCAGCAGUGGGGAAUUUUGGACAAUGGGCGAAAGCCUGAUCCAGCAAUGCCGCGUGUGUGAAGAAGGCCUUCGGGUUGUAAAGCACUUUUGUCCGGAAAGAAAUCCUUGGCUCUAAUACAGUCGGGGGAUGACGGUACCGGAAGAAUAAGCACCGGCUAACUACGUG
rnacentral:rRNA from 1 species